rnacentral:rRNA from 1 species
GACGAACGCUGGCGGCGUGCUUAACACAUGCAAGUCGAACGGUAAGGCCCUUCGGGGUACACGAGUGGCGAACGGGUGAGUAACACGUGGGUGAUCUGCCCUGCACUUCGGGAUAAGCCUGGGAAACUGGGUCUAAUACCGGAUAGGACUCCUGGCUUCAUGGUUGGGGGUGGAAAGCUUUUGCGGUGUGGGAUGGGCCCGCGGCCUAUCAGCUUGUUGGUGGGGUAAUGGCCUACCAAGGCGACGACGGGUAGCCGGCCUGAGAGGGUAACCGGUCACAGUGGGACUGAGAUACGGCCCAGACUCCUACGGGAGGCAGCAGUGGGGAAUAUUGCACAAUGGGCGCAAGCCUGAUGCAGCGACGCCGCGUGAGGGAUGACGGCCUUCGGGUUGUAAACCUCUUUCAGCUAUGACGAAGCGCAAGUGACGGUAGUAGCAGAAGAAGGACCGGCCAACUACGUGCCAGCCGCCGCAGUAA